AGUGGUAUUAUUAUACUUUUUAUAUAAUAAAAUUUGAUUUUUUUUAUUUGGAUUGCUAUCAUACUAAUGAUUUAUUUAUUAUUGUUUAGGCCAGUCUCCACCAAUAGUGAGGUGAGGGCAAGGUCUAUCGAAGAACCAGACUCUAGAACAUUGAAGAUGUGAGCACCCAGGAUAGCAUCUUCGUAUUGAGAUACUACUUGGCUAC
rnacentral:lncRNA from 1 species